rnacentral:rRNA from 1 species
AAAGGGGAGCAAUCCCUGAGUAGAGUGGCAAACGGGUGAGUAACACGUGGGUGACCUGCCUUCGAGUGGGGGAUAACGUCCCGAAAGGGACGCUAAUACCGCAUGACAUCCUGCUUUUGGAAAAGCGGACAUUAAAGCUGGGGAUCGCAAGACCUGGCGCUUGAAGAGGGGCCCGCGCCUGAUUAGCUAGUUGGUGGGGUAACGGCUCACCAAGGCGACGAUCAGUAUCCGGCCUGAGAGGGCGGACGGACACACUGGGACUGAGACACGGCCCAGACUCCUACGGGAGGCAGCAGUGGGGAAUUGUUCGCAAUGGGCGCAAGCCUGACGACGCAACGCCGCGUGGAGGACGAAGAUCUUCGGGUCGUAAACUCCUGUCGAGCGGGAAGAACGCUUCGCGGAUGAAUAAGCCGCGGAAUUGACGGUACCGCUAAAGGAAGCCCCGGCUAACUCCGUGCCAGCAGCCGCGGUAAUACGGGGGGGGCAAGCGUUGUUCGGAAUUACUGGGCGUAAAGGGCUCGUAGGCGGCCAACUAAGUCGGAUGUGAAAUCCCCAGGCUCAACUUGGGAACUGCAUCCGAUACUGGAUGGCUUGAAUCCGGGAGAGGGAUGCAGAAUUCCAGGUGUAGCGGUGAAAUGCGUAGAUAUCUGGAGGAAUACCGGUGGCGAAGGCGGCAUCCUGGACCGGCAUUGACGCUGAUGAGCGAAAGCUAGGGGAGCAAACGGGAUUAGAUACCCCGGUAGUCCUAGCCCUAAACGAUGAAUGCUUGGUGUGACGGGUAUCGAUCCCUGUCGUG